AUUGAACGCUGGCGGCAUGCCUAACACAUGCAAGUCGAACGAGGGGCGGACGGGUGUGUAACGUGUGGGAACCUCCUUUAAGGAGGGGGUUACCUACGGGAACCGGUAGCAAAUCCCGCUUAGCAUUCGAUGAGCACAGAUGGGAUUAGCUAGUUGGUGGGGUAACGGCUCACCAAGGCGACGAGGCCUAGCUGGUCUGAGAGGGUGACCAGCCACACUGGAACUGAGACACGGUCCAGACUCCUACGGGAGGCAGCAGUAGGGAAUAUUGCGCAAUGGGCGAAAGCCUGAUGCAGCCAUGCCGCGUGUGUGAAGAAGGCCUUCGGAUUGUAAAGUACUUUCAGCGGGGAAGCGUUACCCACAGAGAAAGCACCGGCUAACUCCGUGCCAGCAGCCGCGGUAAUAC
rnacentral:rRNA from 1 species